UACGUAGGGUGCAAGCGUUGUCCGGAAUUAUUGGGCGUAAAGAGCUCGUAGGCGGUUUGUCGCGUCUGCUGUGAAACCCGAGGCUCAACCUCGGGCCUGCAGUGGGUACGGGCAGACUAGAGUGCGGUAGGGAGAUUGGAAUUCCUGGUGUAGCGGUGGAAUGCGCAGAUAUCAGGAGGAACACCGAUGGCGAAGGCAGUUCUCUGGGCCGUAACUGACGCUGAGGAGCGAAAGCGUGGGAGCGAACAGG
rnacentral:rRNA from 1 species